CAUGGCCAAAGCGACGGCUGCAGCAAUGGAGGCCAGGAAGCAUAUCCCAUCGCCACCACAGAGCGCUGGAAGACAGCAGAUGUUGCAUGAGCUGAACGCUUGAGAAUUCUAGCAAAGUACCUUCUCUCCAGGUGUCACUGAGAUUCUCCAUAUGCAGUGUGUGUACGAAGGGUAGCCAUUUGGAAACCCAGGAGAGGAAAAGUUGCCUGUGGACUCUUGCAAUGUUUCACCACAUGCUGAAAGAAAUUUGACAUUACAGAUACUGAAAUUUGUAUUGCAAGGUACAAAAGUAAUGUACCAACGGUGGAACAUAUUGUAUCAAUUUUCUCUCAAGUUUUGGUAAGCAGAGAAUUUUAAUUCUUCCCAUUGCUGAAGAGGUAUUGCUUCUUUAAAAUGUUGCAUCCAUUUAACUAUACACAUUUUCAUUUGUUCUGCUCUGUUUCUGUAUCAUAAUUCAGUAAAAUUUUAUAUAUUGAUAUUUCAGUAAAUUGUAUAUAUUUCAUUGUAAUAAAUGUUCCUUGUGCUGCCAAAUUUUCCUUUCAAAUUUCUUAG